UCAGGCCUAACACAUGCAAGUCGAGCGAUGAAGCACCUUCGGGUGUGGAUUAGCGGCGAACGGGUGAGGAACACGUGAGGAAUCUGCCUUCCACUCUGGGAUAACUCCGGGAAACCGGGGCUAAUACCGGAUACUUUCAACUGGCGGCAUCGCCGGUUGAAGAAAGUUUUUCGGUGGAAGAUGACCUCGCGGCCUAUCAGCUUGUUGGUGAGGUAAUGGCUCACCAAGGCGACGACGGGUAGCCGGCCUGAGAGGGCGACCGGCCACACUGGGACUGAGACACGGCCCAGACUCCUACGGGAGGCAGCAGUGGGGAAUAUUGGGCGAUGGAGGAAACUCUGACCCAGCGACGCCGCGUGAGGGAUGAAGGCCUUCGGGUUGUAAACCUCUUCAGCAGGGAAUAAGGAAAGGAA
rnacentral:rRNA from 1 species